UACGUAGGGUGCGAGCGUUAAUCGGAAUUACUGGGCGUAAAGCGUGCGCAGGCGGUUCGUCAAGUCUUGUGUGAAAGCCCCGGGCUCAACCUGGGAAUGGCAUGGGAAACUGGCGAGCUGGAGUGCGGCAGAGGGGGGUGGAAUUCCGCGUGUAGCAGUGAAAUGCGUAGAGAUGCGGAGGAACACCGAUGGCGAAGGCAGCCCCCUGGGUCGACACUGACGCUCAGGCACGAAAGCGUGGGGAGCAAACAGG
rnacentral:rRNA from 1 species